rnacentral:rRNA from 1 species
AUUGAACGCUGGCGGCGUGCCUAACACAUGCAAGUCGAGCGGUAACAGGUGUAGCAAUACAUGCUGACGAGCGGCGAACGGGUGAGUAAUGCUUCGGAAUCUACCUUCUGGAGGGGAAUAACUAGCCGAAAGGUUAGCUAAUACCGCAUACGUACUACGGGAGAAAGCAGGGGACCGAAAGACCUUGCGCCAAAAGAUGAGCCGGAGGCGGAUUAGCUAGUUGGUAGGGUAACGGCCUACCAAGGCGACGAUCCGUAGCUGGUCUGAGAGGACGACCAGCCACACUGGGACUGAGACACGGCCCAGACUCCUACGGGAGGCAGCAGUGGGGAAUAUUGGACAAUGGGGGAAACCCUGAUCCAGCGACGCCGCGUGUGUGAAGAAGGCCUGCGGGUUGUAAAGCACUUUUAGUGGGGAUGAAAUGUGCAGGGUUAAUACCUCUGCAUUUUGACCUAACCCACAGAAAAAGCACCGGCUAACUCUGUGCCAGCCGCCGCCGUAA